rnacentral:rRNA from 1 species
GAUGAACGCUAGCGACAGGCUUAACACAUGCAAGGUCGAGGGGCAGCGCGGGAUAGCAAUAUCCUGGCGGCGACCGGCGGAAGGGUGCGUAACGCGUGAGCGACAUGCCCGUUGCCCGGGGACAGCCGGUGGAAACGCCGACUAAUCCCCGAUGGGAUAUUGUGCCGCAUGGCACGAUAUUGAAAGUUACGGCGGCGACGGAUUGGCUCGCGUCCGAUUAGCUGGUUGGCGGGGUAACGGCCCACCGUGGCGACGAUCGGUAGGGGUUCUGAGAGGAAGGUCCCCCACAUUGGAACUGAGACACGGUCCAAACUCCUACGGGAGGCAGCAGUGAGGAAUAUUGGUCAAUGGACGGGAGUCUGAACCAGCCAAGUAGCGUGCAGGAUGACGGCCCUAUGGGUUGUAAACUGCUUUUGUGCGGGGAUAAAGUGUGGGACGUGUCCCAUAUUGCAGGUACCGCAUGAAUAAGGACCGGCUAAUUCCGUG